rnacentral:misc_RNA from 1 species
GAUGAAGAACGCAGCGAAAUGCGAUAAUUAAUGUGAAUUGCAGAAUUCCGUGAAUCAUCGAGUCUUUGAACGCACAUUGCCCCUCAUGGCAUUCCGUGAGGCAUGCCCAUCUCAGCGUUAGAAAAUAUUCUCAAAUUUUAGUUUUGUGCUAAAAUUUGGAUCAUGUCAAGGAAGCUAUUACUAUUAUUGUGAUCGCUCUUUGGAAAUUGAUAGGUCUUUGAGUUGCUACUCAUAGAACGUGAUGAAUCUUUCUUCGUUCUAUUGUAAUUCACUCUGGUAGUCCUAAAAGUUGUAUGCCUGUGGCAUAUCUUGUAAUUUGACCUGAGAUUGGGUAGGGAUACCCGCUGAACUUAAGCAUAUCAAUAAGCGGAGGA